AAAGCACUAGUCUAGAUGAGCUGCUCACGUUAGUGACAAAAAAACGAACAUUUAUAUUUGCAAACUCUACUAAGCAGAAGGUAAUUAAUAAGGUAAUAACCAGAGCCGGUUGUGAAUCUCCUAAAUUGGCAAGUCAGACUCCCGUGGAGAAGAUGUGGUAUGUAUGGAUUCAAGAUCAUGUCCAAACAGAAAUACAAAGCCCAUGAGGGAUGUGGAGUGGAUGUUGGCACAGCGCAGGCCCCCCAUUAGAAGUGGUAUGUAUUGAAAAUAUCUAACGUUACUAUAAAAACCUAAACAGCAGUUUACCUUUGUCUAUAAACCGUGGCGUGGCAGCCAUUAUUUAAACAGAUCUCCACAAGAUUUUAAAUCACAAGUUAUCUUAAAAGGACAUAUAAAGUCAUGUAUAUCUAAUUCACAAUUAAAAUUAAAUGUCUUGUUUUGAGAGGGAAGAUGAAAUGUGGGUUUCAGAGUGAUAAUGUAAUAAAGUGAUAUCCACUGGCAAGAACUUAAAGAUUCAGUCCAGGAGGGGUCUC